GUGUCAGCCGCCGCGGUAAUACGUAGGGGGCGAGCGUUGCUCGGAAUUACUGGGCGUAAAGGGUGUGUAGGUGGCUGAUCAAGUCAAAGAUGAAAUCCCGAGGCUCAACUUCGGAAUUGUCUUUGAAACUGGUCGGCUUGAGGCUAGUUGAGGAGAGCGGAAUUCCCGGUGGAGCGGUGAAAUGCGUAGAUAUCGGGAGGAACACCUGAGGCGUAGGCGGUUCUCUAAACUUGUCCUGACACUGAGACACGAAAGCUAGGGGAGCAAACGGGAUUAGAAACCCCUGUAGUCC
rnacentral:rRNA from 1 species